rnacentral:rRNA from 1 species
GAGCGGACAGAAGGGAGCUUGCUCCCGGAUGUUAGCGGCGGACGGGUGAGUAACACGUGGGUAACCUGCCUGUAAGACUGGGAUAACUCCGGGAAACCGGAGCUAAUACCGGAUAGUUCCUUGAACCGCAUGGUUCAAGGAUGAAAGACGGUUUCGGCUGUCACUUACAGAUGGACCCGCGGCGCAUUAGCUAGUUGGUGAGGUAACGGCUCACCAAGGCGACGAUGCGUAGCCGACCUGAGAGGGUGAUCGGCCACACUGGGACUGAGACACGGCCCAGACUCCUACGGGAGGCAGCAGUAGGGAAUCUUCCGCAAUGGACGAAAGUCUGACGGAGCAACGCCGCGUGAGUGAUGAAGGUUUUCGGAUCGUAAAGCUCUGUUGUUAGGGAAGAACAAGUGCAAGAGUAACUGCUUGCACCUUGACGGUACCUAACCAGAAAGCCACGGCUAACUACGUGCCAGCAGCCGCGGUAAUACGUAGGUGGCAAGCGUUGUCCGGAAUUAUUGGGCGUAAAGGGCUCGCAGGCGGUUUCUUAAGUCUGAUGUGAAAGCCCCCGGCUCAACCGGGGAGGGUCAUUGGAAACUGGGAAACUUGAGUGCAGAAGAGGAGAGUGGAAUUCCACGUGUAGCGGUGAAAUGCGUAGAGAUGUGGAGGAACACCAGUGGCGAAGGCGACUCUCUGGUCUGUAACUGACGCUGAGGAGCGAAAGCGUGGGGAGCGAACAGGAUUAGAUACCCUGGUAGUCCACGCCGUAAACGAUGAGUGCUAAGUGUUAGGGGGUUUCCGCCCCUUAGUGCUGCAGCUAACGCAUUAAGCACUCCGCCUGGGGAGUACGGUCGCAAGACUGAAACUCAAAGGA